CUUUUCCAAGAGGCUGCCGAAGAUGGCGGAGGUGCAGGUCCUGGUGCUUGAUGGUCGAGGCCAUCUCCUGGGCCGCCUGGCGGCCAUCGUGGCUAAACAGGUACUGCUGGGUAAGUCGCUGCUCGCGGCCCCUCUGUCAUGGGCCCCCGCUGGAGGUCAGUGAUGAGCAACAUUCACCAUCUUUCGUUUGAGUCUCACGGCCAUGAGAUCAACCCCAUGCACCGCUCUGAGACCUGCCAGCCACUCUUCCCCAGGGUUGGGGACUCCAGGCUCAAGAAGUAAUUAUGUAUUAGGCUAGUUUUUCAUUUUAACAUGAACUUAGCUCUGGCGAGUACUGCGCUGUGUCUGGAGGGUUGACUGCAUAGGCAAUGGUGGGACCCUCAGGCGGCUCGGCCCUGCUAAGCCUUUCCCUCCCUCUAGGCCGGAAGGUGGUGGUCGUACGCUGUGAAGGCAUCAACAUUUCUGGCAAUUUCUACAGAAACAAGUGUAAGUUAGGACCUGGGAGGAACACUGGAGAGGGUCUCCCUGUGGGGUGUUGAGGCUCUGAAAGCAAUUGCAGCCGUGUUGGGAGAGGCUACUUGGGGUUUCUGAGAAGGCCCUUGGAAGUGGGGUUUUGAGGGUGCUGGUAGACUGGGCAGGCCUCACACUCUCCCCUCUCCCUAGUGAAGUACCUGGCUUUCCUCCGCAAGCGGAUGAACACCAACCCUUCCCGAGGCCCCUACCACUUCCGGGCCCCCAGCCGCAUCUUCUGGCGGACCGUGCGAGGUGAGCAGAGCGUGGGGACUGCAGGUGGUGACGGGCAGGCGGCCGGUGAUGAGAACUUCUCCCACUCACAUUCGAGUUUCCCGACCAUGAGAUGACUCCACAUGCACUACCAUCUGAGGCCACCCCAUGGGCCCACCUCAGUGGGGAGGGUGGGCGUCCUUAUGAGGCCCUCUGACUGGGCCUGCUAUCUGUCACCCAACAGGUAUGCUGCCCCACAAAACCAAGCGAGGCCAGGCCGCUCUGGACCGUCUCAAGGUGUUUGACGGCAUCCCACCGCCCUACGACAAGGUGAGCUGUGCCAAACCCCACAGGCAGCGGCCUUACCUGUGGCGUCUGUGAUGUUCCGCAACUACCUACAUUGUUUGAUCCUCAUGAAAGCAGCACUGGCUGAGACGCCAGUCCAGCCGACCUCCUUCCCUGUCUGUCCCUCCCGGGCUCUUAAGCCCCUCUCUUUCUCUAACAGAAAAAGCGGAUGGUGGUUCCUGCUGCCCUCAAGGUCGUGCGUCUGAAGCCUACAAGAAAGGUGAGUCCCAGCUUAUGCUGCACCAUCUACUUGGGAGAUUUCAGGCCUGCUGAGGGACCUGGGGACCCGGAGCCUGGCAGAUGAUGUCCUUAUCUCACGAUGGUCUGCGGAUGUCCCUGCGGGAAUGGCGACAAUGCCAAUGGCUUAGCUGAUGCCAGGAGGCUUGGGUGGGUGCUUUUCUAACAGGCCUUCAGAGAACAGUUGCAUUAUGAUAUGCCCAGCUGUCAGUCACCUCCCAGCUCUCACCAGCUCCGGCUCUUCAGGGUGUGGGGGCUUAGAUAUCCUUACAACUUCAUUUGUUCACCGCCCCCGCAGUUUGCCUAUCUGGGGCGCCUGGCUCACGAGGUUGGCUGGAAGUACCAGGCAGUGACAGCCACCCUGGAGGAGAAGAGGAAAGAGAAAGCCAAGAUCCACUACCGGAAGAAGAAACAGCUCAUGAGGCUACGGAAACAGGCCGAGAAGAACGUGGAGAAGAAAAUUGACAAAUACACAGAGGUCCUCAAGACCCACGGACUCCUGGUCUGAGCCCAAUAAAGACUGUUAAUUCCUCAUGCGUUGCCUGCCCUUCCUCCAUUGUCGCCCUGGAAUGUACGGGACCCAGGGGCAGCAGCAGUCCAGGUGCCACAGGCAGCCUGGGACAUAGGAAGCUGGGAGCAAGGAAAGGGUCUUAGUCACUGCCUCCUGAAGUUGCUUGAAAGCACUUGGAGAAUUGUGCAGGUGUCAUUUAUCUAUGACCAAUAGGAAGAGCAACCAGUUACUAUGAGUGAAAGGGAGCCAGAAGACUGAUUGGAGGGCCCUAUCUUGUGAGUGGGGCAUCUGUUGGACUUUCCACCUGGUCAUAUACUCUGCAGCUGUUAGAAUGUGCAAGCACUUGGGGACAGCAUGAGCUUGCUGUUGUACACAGGGUAUUUCUAGAAGCAGAAAUAGACUGGGAAGAUGCACAACCAAGGGGUUACAGGCAUCACCCGUGCUCCUCACCUGUAUUUUGUAAUCAGAAAUAAAUUGCUUUUAAAG
rnacentral:sRNA from 1 species